rnacentral:lncRNA from 1 species
GAACAAGCAGGAGGAGAAGCACCGGCCAAGGCAGGGAGGGCAGAGGGAGGCCCGAGCCAGCCACGAGUUCAGCCACUGGGACAUCGGAGCCUGAAGAAACAAAUGGCCAGAUGAUCAGAUAAACGCUGUGCCCCUGACGACGACAACGCCUGAUGUUGCCAGUGACUGAGAGAGACAUUGGGAACUACCAAAGUCUCUGUCCGGUGGCUUCCUCCAGAGAUCCCAGAGAAGGAAGGUUUGAGGUUGCCAGUGAAGGGCAUUGAGAACACCUGGCUAAAGUGGCAACUGCCCUGGCAGGGAGCAAACAGGUUCUGGCACAAGUUAGCCUAAUCACUUCUAAUCCCUGUGCCCCCAACACUCAAGAUUUUCUGCUUCUAACAAGAAGGCUGACCACGUUUAAGACACGUGCUUGCUGCUGCUCUUGUUUUUAAUAAUAAAUCGCCAUCGCUUGUGUUUUGUAAUUUAGGAGAGCUUUCCCAUCCAUUCGAAUUCCUUCCUCCUGAGGCUUCUGUGCUGUGGAGCUCCUUCCUGCUCAUCCUAGUCUUCCUCAGGAUUGCAAAGCUCAAGACCCCCUGGAAACCUGGCCCCAACUUCCCUGGGACUUCAUCCCUCUUCCAGUUGGUGAUUGAUCUGAUCUGACAUUUUACAGUCCCAAACCCAUGAGGAGCCGUGAAGUUGUUCACUGGAAACAGAAAUAGGCAGGUGGCCAGGCUGGCAAGUGUGCAGCUCAAGUGUUUCAUCAAGGAAGGGUCUGGGAUUCUGAGGUCAUAAACUUGAUAGGCUGGCAGGGCAGCUUCAGUGAGAGGAAGAACUUUGAAUGAGGUGUUUUUUCCUCCUUGGUAUCCUGGGGCUACACCUCUGCCAGUGGCUUGACAGACUUUUCUGGUGUUCGGGUCCAGGGUCCGUGGCUCCCGGAAGGAAGUGCUCUUCCGGGAGACUCUGUGUGGGAAGGAGCUCUGUCAUCUGGCCAGAGCGUGGUCCUCACAGGUUUGCUGGGGCUUUCAAGACAUGGGUGCACGUCUUCCUGGGCUUUGAAGCCUUCUUUGUCCCCCGUGCCCCAGGUGCCACCAGGUCUGGGC